CGUACACGGUGGAUGCCCUGGCAGUCAGAGGCGAUGAAGGACGUGCUAAUCUGCGAUAAGCGCCGGUAAGGUGAUAUGAACCGUUAUAACCGGCGAUUUCCGAAUGGGGAAACCCAGUGUGAUUCGUCACACUAUCAUUAACUGAAUCCAUAGGUUAAUGAGGCGAACCGGGGGAACUGAAACAUCUAAGUACCCCGAGGAAAAGAAAUCAACCGAGAUUCCCCCAGUAGCGGCGAGCGAACGGGGAGGAGCCCAGAGCCUGAAUCAGCAUGUGUGUUAGUGGAAGCGUCUGGAAAGGCGCGCGAUACAGGGUGACAGCCCCGUACACAAAAGCGCAUGUGCUGUGAGCUCGAUGAGUAGGGCGGGACACGUGGUAUCCUGUCUGAAUAUGGGGGGACCAUCCUCCAAGGCUAAAUACUCCUGACUGACCGAUAGUGAACCAGUACCGUGAGGGAAAGGCGAAAAGAACCCCGGCGAGGGGAGUGAAAAAGAACCUGAAACCGUGUACGUACAAGCAGUGGGAGCACCCUUCGGGGUGUGACUGCGUACCUUUUGUAUAAUGGGUCAGCGACUUAUAUUCUGUAGCAAGGUUAACCGUAUAGGGGAGCCGGAGGGAAACCGAGUCUUAACCGGGCGUUAAGUUGCAGGGUAUAGACCCGAAACCCGGUGAUCUAGCCAUGGGCAGGUUGAAGGUUGGGUAACACUAACUGGAGGACCGAACCGACUAAUGUUGAAAAAUUAGCGGAUGACCUGUGGCUGGGGGUGAAAGGCCAAUCAAACCGGGAGAUAGCUGGUUCUCCCCGAAAGCUAUUUAGGUAGCGCCUCGUGAAUUCAUCUCCGGGGGUAGAGCACUGUUUCGGCUAGGGGGCCAUCCCGGCUUACCAACCCGAUGCAAACUGCGAAUACCGGAGAAUGUUAUCACGGGAGACACACGGCGGGUGCUAACGUCCGUCGUGAAGAGGGAAACAACCCAGACCGCCAGCUAAGGUCCCAAAGUCAUGGUUAAGUGGGAAACGAUGUGGGAAGGCCCAGACAGCCAGGAUGUUGGCUUAGAAGCAGCCAUCAUUUAAAGAAAGCGUAAUAGCUCACUGGUCGAGUCGGCCUGCGCGGAAGAUGUAACGGGGCUAAACCAUGCACCGAAGCUGCGGCAGCGAACGUAUCACCCAAGACAACUUUACGGAGUUGACGAUUGACGGAGCGAAGCGACGUCAAAGCGUUCAUUAAAGUCGAGUUGGCUUAGGGAUACGUUCGUUGGGUAGGGGAGCGUUCUGUAAGCCUGUGAAGGUGUGUCGUGAGGCAUGCUGGAGGUAUCAGAAGUGCGAAUGCUGACAUAAGUAACGAUAAAGCGGGUGAAAAGCCCGCUCGCCGGAAGACCAAGGGUUCCUGUCCAACGUUAAUCGGGGCAGGGUGAGUCGACCCCUAAGGCGAGGCCGAAAGGCGUAGUCGAUGGGAAACGGGUUAAUAUUCCCGUACUUGGUGUUACUGCGAAGGGGGGACGGAGAAGGCUAUGUUGGCCGGGCGACGGUUGUCCCGGUUUAAGCGUGUAGGUGUGUGUUCCAGGUAAAUCCGGUUCACUUUAACACUGAGGCGUGACGACGAGGCACUACGGUGCUGAAGCAACAAAUGCCCUGCUUCCAGGAAAAGCCUCUAAGCAUCAGGUAACACGAAAUCGUACCCCAAACCGACACAGGUGGUCAGGUAGAGAAUACCAAGGCGCUUGAGAGAACUCGGGUGAAGGAACUAGGCAAAAUGGUGCCGUAACUUCGGGAGAAGGCACGCUGACACGUAGGUGAAGUGAUUUACUCAUGGAGCUGAAGUCAGUCGAAGAUACCAGCUGGCUGCAACUGUUUAUUAAAAACACAGCACUGUGCAAACACGAAAGUGGACGUAUACGGUGUGACGCCUGCCCGGUGCCGGAAGGUUAAUUGAUGGGGUCAGCGUAAGCGAAGCUCCUGAUCGAAGCCCCGGUAAACGGCGGCCGUAACUAUAACGGUCCUAAGGUAGCGAAAUUCCUUGUCGGGUAAGUUCCGACCUGCACGAAUGGCGUAAUGAUGGCCAGGCUGUCUCCACCCGAGACUCAGUGAAAUUGAACUCGCUGUGAAGAUGCAGUGUACCCGCGGCAAGACGGAAAGACCCCGUGAACCUUUACUAUAGCUUGACACUGAACAUUGAGCCUUGAUGUGUAGGAUAGGUGGGAGGCUUUGAAGUGUGGACGCCAGUCUGCAUGGAGCCGACCUUGAAAUACCACCCUUUAAUGUUUGAUGUUCUAACGUGGACCCGUAAUCCGGGUUGCGGACAGUGUCUGGUGGGUAGUUUGACUGGGGCGGUCUCCUCCUAAAGAGUAACGGAGGAGCACGAAGGUUGGCUAAUCCUGGUCGGACAUCAGGAGGUUAGUGCAAUGGCAUAAGCCAGCUUGACUGCGAGCGUGACGGCGCGAGCAGGUGCGAAAGCAGGUCAUAGUGAUCCGGUGGUUCUGAAUGGAAGGGCCAUCGCUCAACGGAUAAAAGGUACUCCGGGGAUAACAGGCUGAUACCGCCCAAGAGUUCAUAUCGACGGCGGUGUUUGGCACCUCGAUGUCGGCUCAUCACAUCCUGGGGCUGAAGUAGGUCCCAAGGGUAUGGCUGUUCGCCAUUUAAAGUGGUACGCGAGCUGGGUUUAGAACGUCGUGAGACAGUUCGGUCCCUAUCUGCCGUGGGCGCUGGAGAACUGAGGGGGGCUGCUCCUAGUACGAGAGGACCGGAGUGGACGCAUCACUGGUGUUCGGGUUGUCAUGCCAAUGGCACUGCCCGGUAGCUAAAUGCGGAAGAGAUAAGUGCUGAAAGCAUCUAAGCACGAAACUUGCCCCGAGAUGAGUUCUCCCUGAGACUUAGAGUCUCCUGAAGGAACGUUGAAGACGACGACGUUGAUAGGCCGGGUGUGUAAGCGCAGCGAUGCGUUGAGCUAACCGGUACUAAUGAACCGUGAGGCUUAACCUUACAACGCCGAAGAUGUUUUGGCG
rnacentral:rRNA from 1 species